AUUGAACGCUGGCGGCAGGCUUCACACAUGCAAGUCGAGCGAGCGGCGGACGGGUGAGUAACGUCUGUGAAACUGCCUGAAGGCGGGGGAUAACUACUGGAAACGGUAGCUAAUACCGCAUACCAUCAGAUGUGCACAGAUUGGAUUAGCUAGUGGGUGGGGUAAUGGCUCACCUAGGCGACGAUCCCUAGCUGGUCUGCGAGGAUGACCAGCCACACUGGAAAUGAGACACGGUCCAGACUCCUACGGGAGGCAGCAGUGGGGAAGAUUGCACAAUGGGCGCAAGCCUGAUGCAGCAAUGCCGCGUGUGUGAAGAAGGCCUUCGGGUGGUAAAGCACUUUCAGCGAGGAGGCGUUACUCGCAGAAGAAGCACCGGCUAACUCCGUGCCAGCAGCCGCGGUAAUUC
rnacentral:rRNA from 1 species